AUGUGAGACCAUCCUGAGCUGUUCCUAUUAUUUGUAAGAAAGCAGUGAUAUUUUCGUAUGCUUCUCUAUGGAAAUGGAUUUAUUUAGAAUUUUCUUCUUUUUUGGUUUGGUUUCUGUCAGUCAGAAAUCCAGUGGCAGCUUAGCUGGGACCUCCAAUUUAGUGUCUUUCAUGAGGCUGCAAUCAAGGUGUCAUCAAGAGAUGGAGUCUCAUCUGAAGGCUCCACAGUUCCCUAUAAGAAUGUUUGCCUUCUAUUAAAGGCUCACCAGUA
rnacentral:lncRNA from 1 species